rnacentral:rRNA from 1 species
GACGGAGGGUGCUAGCGUUGUUCGGAAUGACUGGGCGUAAAGGGCGCGUAGGCGGCUCGUGAAGUCGGGUGUGAAAGCCCGGGGCUCAACCCCGGAACGGCAUCCGAUACUGGCGGGCUUGAGACCGGGAGGGGAGGGUGGAAUACCCAGUGUAGAGGUGAAAUUCGUAGAUAUUGGGUGGAACACCGGUGGCGAAAGCGGCUCUCUGGCCCGGAUCUGACGCUGAGGCGCGAAAGCGUGGGGAGCAAACAGG